rnacentral:rRNA from 1 species
GUGGGGAAUAUUGGGCAAUGGGGGCAACCCUGACCCAGCAACGCCGCGUGAGGGAAGAAGGUUUUCGGAUUGUAAACCUCUGUCCUAUGGGAAGAAGGAAGUGACGGUACCAUAGGAGGAAGCCCCGGCUAACUACGUGCCAGCAGCCGCGGUAAUACGUAGGGGGCGAGCGUUGUCCGGAAUUACUGGGCGUAAAGGGUGCGCAGGUGGACUGACAAGUCAGAUGUGAAAUACCGAUGCUUAACGUCGGGGCUGCAUUUGAAACUAUGAGGCUGGAGUGCAGGAGAGGGAAGCGGAAUUCCUAGUGUAGCGGUGAAAUGCAUAGAUAGUAGGAGGAACACCAGUGGCGAAGGCGGCUUUCUGGACUGUAACUGACACUGAGGCACGAAAGCGUGGGGAGCAAACAGGAUUAGAUACCCCAGUAGUCC